GCGACCCCAGGAUGGGCGGGG
rnacentral:rRNA from 9 species